UACGUAGGUGGCAAGCGUUAUCCGGAUUUACUGGGUGUAAAGGGCGAGUAGGCGGGAUUGCAAGUCGGAUGUGAAAACUAUGGGCUCAACCGAUAGAGUGCAUUUGAAACUGCAGUUCUUGAGUGAUGGAGAGGCAGGCGGAAUUCCCGGUGUAGCGGUGGAAUGCGUAGAUACCGGGAGGAACACCAGUGGCGAAGGCGGCCUGCUGGACAUUAACUGACGCUGAGGCGCGAAAGCGUGGGGAGCAAACAGG
rnacentral:rRNA from 1 species